rnacentral:rRNA from 1 species
GACGAACGCUGGCGGCGUGCUUAACACAUGCAAGUCGAACGGUGAAGCUCCAGCUUGCUGGAGUGGAUCAGUGGCGAACGGGUGAGUAACACGUGAGCAACCUGCCCCUGACUCUGGAAUAAGCGCUGGAAACGGCGUCUAAUACUGGAUACGAGAAGGGUCCGCAUGGGCACUUUCUGGAAAGUUUUUCGGUUGGGGAUGGGCUCGCGGCCUAUCAGCUUGUUGGUGAGGUAAUGGCUCACCAAGGCGACGACGGGUAGCCGGCCUGAGAGGGCGACCGGCCACACUGGGACUGAGACACGGCCCAGACUCCUACGGGAGGCAGCAGUGGGGAAUAUUGCACAAUGGGCGAAAGCCUGAUGCAGCGACGCCGCGUGAGGGAUGACGGCCUUCGGGUUGUAAACCUCUUUCAGCAGGGAAGAAACGAAAGUGACGGUACCUGCAGAAGAAGCACCGGCUAACUACGUG